UACGUAGGCAGCGAGCGUUGUUCGGAUUUACUGGGCGUAAAGGGCGCGUAGGCGGAUUUUUAAGUCAGGGGUGAAAUCCCAAGGCUCAACCUUGGAACUGCCUUUGAUACUGGGAAUCUUGAGUCCGGGAGAGGUGAGUGGAACUGCGAGUGUAGAGGUGAAAUUCGUAGAUAUUCGCAAGAACACCAGUGGCGAAGGCGGCUCACUGGCCCGGAACUGACGCUGAGGCGCGAAAGCGUGGGGAGCAAGCAGG
rnacentral:rRNA from 1 species